rnacentral:rRNA from 1 species
AGAUUGAACGCUGGCGGCGUGCUUAACACAUGCAAGUCGAGCGGUAACGCGGGAGCAAUCCUGGCGACGAGCGGCGAACGGGUGAGUAAUGCUUGGGAAUCUGCCCAUUAGUGGGGAACAACCAGCCGAAAGGUUGGCUAAUACCGCAUACGCCCUACGGGGGAAAGCGGGGGAUCGAAAGACCUCGCGCUAAUGGAUGAGCCCAAGUCGGAUUAGCUUGUUGGUAGGGUAACGGCCUACCAAGGCGACAAUCCGUAGCUGGUCUGAGAGGACGACCAGCCACACUGGGACUGAGACACGGCCCAGACUCCUACGGGAGGCAGCAGUGGGGAAUAUUGGACAAUGGGGGCAACCCUGAUCCAGCGACGCCGCGUGUGUGAAGAAGGCCUGCGGGUUGUAAAGCACUUUUAGUGGGGAUGAAAAGCUCAGGGUUAACACCUCUGGGUCUUGACCUAACCACAGAAAAGCACCGGCUAACUCUGCGCCAGCAGCCGCGGU